rnacentral:tRNA from 2 species
GCCUGGGUGGCGCAACUGGUAGACGCGCUGUCUUGAGAUGGCAGUGGGCGAAAGCCCUUGCGGGUUCGAGUCCCGCUCCAGGCACCA